GGAUGUGAGGGUGAUCUGGCUGUGACAUCUGUCACCCCAUUGAUCGCCAGGGUUGAUGCGGCUGAUCUGGCUGGCUAGGCGGUGUCCCCUUCCUCCCUUACCGCUCCAUGUGCAUCCCUCCUGAAGCUGCAUGCUCAGUUGAAGAGGAUGGCCUUCCCCAAAUAAAACUGACCAGUUUUCGGUGGAG
rnacentral:snRNA from 1 species